ACUUGGUGUUAUUCAUUUGCAACAUGCUAAAACUGGAAAUUAGAUUUGAAUUGGGACACUGAAUGUAAUAUACUAGUGAAUUUAGCUGAAAUUUGCUAUAUGCAAGCAUGUCUGCAUAAGCUGUUUGUUUCCUUUAUAAUAUGAUUUCUCUUAAAGGCUUAUUUCUUUCUUGUUUUAACUGCUUUUAUAAUCGCUGAGCAUGCCCAUUGGACUUUGGUAGAGAAUAAAGAAUUUAGUUGAAA